rnacentral:rRNA from 1 species
AUUGAACGCUGGCGGCAGGCCUAACACAUGCAAGUCGAGCGGGGUUUUCGGACCUAGCGGCGGACGGGUGAGUAAUGCGUAGGAAGCUGCCCGAUAGAGGGGGAUACCAGUUGGAAACGACUGUUAAUACCGCAUAAUGUCUACGGACCAAAGUGUGGGACCUUCGGGCCACAUGCUAUCGGAUGCGCCUACGUGGGAUUAGCUAGUUGGUGAGGUAAUGGCUCACCAAGGCGACGAUCUCUAGCUGGUUUGAGAGGAUGAUCAGCCACACUGGAACUGAGACACGGUCCAGACUCCUACGGGAGGCAGCAGUGGGGAAUAUUGGACAAUGGGCGCAAGACUGAUCCAGCCAUGCCGCGUGUGUGAAGAAGGCCUUCGGGUUGUAAAGCACUUUCAGCGAGGAGGAAGGGGUGUGUGUUAAUAGUACACACCUUUGACGUUACUCGCAGAAGAAGCACCGGCUAACUCUGUGCCAGCAGCCGCGGUAAGAC